AAUAGAUACCCAGGUAGUCCACGCCCGUAAAACGAUGAAUAGCGUAGCCGGUUCGGGGGGGUUUUACCUCUUCGGGUGGCGCAGUUAACGCAAUAAGCUAUUCCGCCUGGGGAGGUACGAUCGGCAAGAUUAAACUACAAAGGAAAGUUGACGGGGGCCCGGCACAAGCGGUGGAGCAUGUGGUUUAAUUCGAAGCAACGACGAAGAACCUUACCACGGUCCUUGACAUCCCGGUUCGCGGUACCUUCUGAAAGGAAGUCUUUCGAGUUCGGCGUGGACCGGUGACAGGUGCUGCAGUGGCUGUCGUCAGCUCGUGUCGUGAGAUGUUGGGUUAAGUCCCGCAACGUGUCGCAACCCUCGCCCUUAGUUGCCAUCCAUUAGUUGGGCACUCUAAGGGGCUGCCGGUGAGUAAGCCGNGAGGAAGGUGGGGAUGGACGUCGAAGUCCUCAUGGCCCCUUACGGCCUGGGGCCCUAACNCACGGUNCUACAAUGGCCGGUAGACAAGUGGGCAGGUCAAUGGCCGCGAGCUGACGCUAACNCUACAAAAGCCGUCUCAGUUCGGAUUGC
rnacentral:rRNA from 1 species